GCCAACGCGUGAUUGUAUACUGGCUCAGGACGAACGCUGGCGGCGUGCUUAACACAUGCAAGUCGAACGAUGAAGCCCAGCUUGCUGGGUGGAAGAGUGGCGAACGGGUGAGUAACACGUGAGUAACCUGCCCCGGACUCUGGGAUAAGCGCUGGAAACGGCGUCUAAUACUGGAUACGACCCAUACCGGCAUCGGUAGUGGGUGGAAAGAUUUAUCGGUCUGGGAUGGGCUCGCGGCCUAUCAGCUGGAUGGUGAGGUAACGGCUCACCAUGGCGACGACGGGUAGCCGGCCUGAGAGGGUGACCGGCCACACUGGGACUGAGACACGGCCCAGACUCCUACGGGAGGCAGCAGUGGGGAAUAUUGCACAAUGGGCGAAAGCCUGAUGCAGCAACGCCGCGUGAGGGAUGACGGCCUUCGGGUUGUAAACCUCUUUUAGUAGGGAAGAAGCGAAAGUGACGGUACCUGCAGAAAAAGCACCGGCUAACUACGUGCCAGCAGCCGCGGUAAUACGUAGGGUGCAAGCGUUGUCCGGAAUUACUGGGCGUAAAGAGCUCGUAGGCGGCUUGUCGCGUCGUCUGUGAAAUCCCGGGGCUUAACUUCGGGCGUGCAGGCGAUACGGGCAUAACUUGAGUGCUGUAGGGGAGACUGGAAUUCCUGGUGUAGCGGUGAAAUGCGCAGAUAUCAGGAGGAACACCAAUGGCGAAGGCAGGUCUCUGGGCAGUAACUGACGCUGAGGAGCGAAAGCAUGGGUAGCGAACAGGAUUAGAUACCCUGGUAGUCCAUGCCGUAAACGGUGUGCGCUAGGUGUAGGGGUCUUCCACGACUUCUGUGCCGCAGCUAACGCAUUAAGCGCCCCGCCUGGGGAGUACGGCCGCAAGGCUAAACUCAAAGGAUUUGACAGGGGCCCGCACAAGCGGCGGAGCAUGUGGAUUAAUUCGAUGCAACGCGAAGAACCUUACCUGGGCUUGACAUGGACCGGAUCGGCGUAGAGAUACGUUUCCCUUGUGUCGUCACAGUGUGCAUGAUGUCGUCAGCUCGUGUCGUGAGAUGUUGGGUAGUCCCGCACGAGCGCACCCUUGUCUUAUGUUGCCAGCACAUUGUGGUGGUAU
rnacentral:rRNA from 1 species